rnacentral:tRNA from 1 species
GGGCGAGUGGUGGAAUUGGCAGACACGUACGGUUCAGGGCCGUAUGCCCUUAGGGCUUGAGGGUUCAAAUCCCUCCUCGCCCACAA